UGGUACAUAAGGAUCAACCACAUUCUUUUCUUACAUUUAAAUGUACAUGUUUGUUUGGACUAGUUACACAUUUACAGGGUUCGAAAUGGGAAGGACACAGAGAAGAUCAGUCACUCCCUCUUCCGAAAGCUGCCCUUCAGGUGAAGAAAACCUUGUGACCUCCUCCUUCUCUUUUGCGGGUGCAACUGUCCCCUCUCCCAAACUCCUUGGUACUGGCAGCUCUGUGAUGAGGUUCCAUUCCUAGGAGGCAUCGCGUGUCUCUGCUUGCCUCUCAUGCUGGUCCAAUGUGUCUGAAAGACCAACGAAGCAGAUCUGCACCCAUCCUGCAGCUUGGAGCCAAGCCACUCUGAGCCCAGCCUAGAUCAGGUGGUCCCUAGAUGUCCUCCAGAUGCAUGAGCAAGAACAAAUGAUCGGAGACUUAGUUCCCUGAAUUGAAGCAUCCAGGGGAGCCUGCUGCAGCCUUCCAGCGUAAAGACUGGGGCCCAGGAACACACGAGUCCAGCUCUGGGUCCAAGCUCUGGCGGAGGAAGUAUCAGCAGCAGAUCCUGGAGGGGAAGGAGCCCCAGCACGGGUCUUACCUUGCUGUAAAUAAUCUGUAGUGUUAGAGGAACAGCCUCCCGGUCGCCAUCGAUGCCCAGCCGCUUGCUGCCAGGACCUGUGCCACACACAGACAGACCCUUCACUACCCCUGGCUUCCCCGGCUCCUCACGAACGCAGUGGCCUUGCCUCCCUGGGCCUUACCUCCCCAUCCCCUACCACAUGGACCGUGACUCCCUAGGGAUCUGUCUCACCAAGGCCCUGCCUCUCUCUCUGGCUCCACGUUCUGGGGAUCUCCACCUCCUCAGUGACCCCAUCACUCCAGGGCCCAUCUCCGCUGUGAUCACACAUUCCCAGGGUCCUGCCUCUCCAGGGCCCCAUCUCCGCUGUGAUCACACCUUCCCAGGGUCCUGCCUCUCCAGGGCCCCAUCUCCGCUGUGAUCACACCUUCCCAGGGUCCUGCCUCUCCAGGGCCCCACCUCCUGGGUAACCCUGCCUCCCCAGGGCCCACCUGCUGGUACCCACCUGACGCCUUGAUGGCACGUGUGGCAGCGGAGUGACCCAGCUCCAAGGAGUGGAUGAAGAUCUCUGUCGUCUUCUCCCCAGUGAUGAAGGCACGUAGAAGAACUGAAGUUUGAAGAACCGUGUGAGGAGUGGGCGAUUGUUCUCCAGCCGCCUGGCAAGAAGAAGAUGGCAAGGUGCAAUCCUUGAGGUCUGUGUGCUUUGAAAAUUGCAGAGCGGUUUGCAUGUAAGAUGCCCCAUGUCAUCCCCCAGGUUUACAGGUAAAUUCUUUGCAGGAAAGUAUUGUGGUCGGCACAGCUAUGCAGGCAUAGAGUAAAUAUUCAAUAAACAUGUGGGCUGAGCCCAAGAGGGCUGUGGUGGGCAGGACCCAGUGGCACUGACGUGAGGUUUCCUGCUACCUCCAGAAUUGAGGCACUGGGCGAUCAUACGGGGGUGGAGUCAGGAAGCAGGGGGAGGCCCCCAGCCUUGAUAACAGGCCCACUUCCUCUGCCACCCAGCCACAUCAAAGCAGGAUAAACUGUUUCAUUCAUUUCCAUGGCAACUGGGUCCCUAAGACUUCACGGGGGGAGGGCCCACCUCCCCACGUCCCUUCUCAUUUCUCCCUGUGACUUUACCAGGACCUACCUUCUAAGCUAACACCACUGCAACCCUUACUGCCCCCAGCACUGUGAAAUCAAUUAGGCCAACAUUAAUCCUCACUAACUGCAUUGACAGGGAGGCAUUGCUAUACACCCAUUUUACAGAUGAGGAAACGGAAGCUCACAAGCUAAACGUCUUGCUGAAGGCCCACAGUUAGUAAGUAGCAGACCCAGUAUUUGCAAGUACAAUGGUCUGGUCCCAAGGACUAGAAGCCACUAAGUUAUUCAGCCUCUCCUUCAAGCAUUCAAGUUCCCUGGCCUCCAUCCUAGCUCUUUCUCCACUUAACUGGGGGUGGGAGGGACUCAGGAAUUGGGCAGCAGGCCUGUUGAAAAUCAUAGGAAAGGCUGGGCGCGGUGGCUCAUGCUUGUAAUCCCAGCACUUUGGGAGGCCGAGGUGGGCGGCUCACAAGGUUAGGAGUUCGAGACCAGCCUGGCCAAUAUGGUGAAACCCCGUCUCUACUAAAAAUACAAAAAUUAGCCAGGCAUGGUGGUGCACGCCUGUAGUCCC
rnacentral:lncRNA from 10 species